rnacentral:rRNA from 1 species
UACGUAGGGUGCAAGCGUUGUCCGGAAUUAUUGGGCGUAAAGGGCUCGUAGGCGGUCUGUCACGUCGGGAGUGAAAACUCAGGGCUUAACCCUGAGCCUGCUUCCGAUACGGGCUGACUAGAGGUAUGCAGGGGAGAACGGAAUUCCUGGUGUAGCGGUGAAAUGCGCAGAUAUCAGGAGGAACACCGGUGGCGAAGGCGGUUCUCUGGGCAUUACCUGACGCUGAGGAGCGAAAGCAUGGGGAGCGAACAGG